UACGGAGGGUGCAAGCGUUAUCCGGAUUCACUGGGUUUAAAGGGUGCGUAGGCGGGCUUGUAAGUCAGUGGUGAAAGCCCGGAGCUUAACUCCGGAACUGCCAUUGAUACUGCAGGUCUUGAGUACACUUGAGGGUGGGCGGAAUACAUCAUGUAGUGGUGAAAUACUUAGAUAUGAUGUAGAACACCGAUUGCGAAGGCAGCUCACUAAAUUGUAACUGACGCUGAGGCACGAAAGCGUGGGGAUCAAACAGG
rnacentral:rRNA from 1 species